rnacentral:rRNA from 1 species
AGUGAACGCUGGCGGCGUGCCUAACACAUGCAAGUCGAACGAUGAUUGAGAGCUUGCUCUCAUGAUUAGUGGCGCACGGGUGAGUAUACCAUAGAUAAUGUACCUCUUAGUUCGGGAUAGCCACUGGACACGGUGAUUAAUACCGGAUACUCCUUCUUGUCUUAAGGCAAGUCGGGAAAGUUUUUUCGCUAAGAGAUCAGUCUAUGUCCUAUCAGCCAGUUGGUGAGGUAAUGGCUCACCAAGGCUAUGACGGGUAUCUGGUUUGAGAGGAUGAUCAGACACACUGUAACUGAGACACGGUGCAGAUUCCUACGGGAGGCAGCAGUGAGGAAAAUUGCACAAUGGAGGAAACUCUGAUGCAGCAACGCCGCGUGGAGGAUGACGCAUUUCGGUGUGUAAACUCCUUUUAAGAGGGAAGAUAAUGACGGUACCUCUUGAAUAAGCACCGGCUAACUCCGUGCCAGCAGCCGCGGUAAUAC